CAGCAGCCACGGGAAUACGUAGGGUGCGAGCGUUAGUCGGAAUUACUGGGCGUAAAGCGUGCGCAGGCGGUUCGUUAAGACAGAUGUGAAAUCCCCGGGCUUAACCUGGGAACUGCAUUUGUGACUGGCGAGCUAGAGUAUGGCAGAGGGGGGUAGAAUUCCACGUGUAGCAGUGAAAUGCGUAGAGAUGUGGAGGAAUACCGAUGGCGAAGGCAGCCCCCUGGGCCAAUACUGACGCUCAUGCACGAAAGCGUGGGGAGCAAACAGGAUUAGAUACCCCUGUAGUCCCUGUCUCUUAUAC
rnacentral:rRNA from 1 species